rnacentral:lncRNA from 1 species
UACUGGUCCUUUACUUGUAAUGCUUCCCACCGUCACCGUAUAAUAAAUAAAAACACUUAACUACAAAAAAUAAAAUAAUAUAAAUAAAUAAUUAUACAUAGAUUAUAUAAAGUAUGUAAACAUAAAAUGCCGAAUUAAAUUUUUAAAAUAUAGGCGUUCUUCGAAUAUCCAAUAAUUCGAAAUUAAAUCCGUGACGUAACUGACACGUUUCGCUCAUUCGCCGGCUAUUUUAAGAGCGACCAAUUAGAAGCUUUGGUUUAAAAUUUUAAACGAAACGUCUUGAUUGGUUUUUUGUUAUUAUUGACGCCAUUCCAGUUUCAGAAAGAAUCUUUGAACUAGAAAAUAGAAGCAAUCUGGAAAACUAAAAAUAAAUUGAAAUGCUCGUAAAAUGUGAAUUCGUGUCGCUCGACGCGUGCACCUUACGUAAAUUUAAAUUAAAUGGAAAGUUUGUGUAUUAGGGACAUCGACAGCAACACCCGCAGACUAUAAAAAAGGGCAUCAUAUAAUAUCCAAGAAGCUUCACACUGUGAUUUAAAGUCGAAUCAGCAAUCCCACAAAGUGGCACUGGUUGCAAUCAAGACUAAGAAACAAGGAAUGAUUUUUAGCCUUCUUUUCAAGGCCAAUUUUUGGUCAACAUACGAUGAAGUUACAUGAGACAAUGGAUAAAUAUCUUUCAUUAGCUUUUAGAGC